ACUCCUACGGGAGGCAGCAGUGGGGAAUUUUGGACAAUGGGCGCAAGCCUGAUCCAGCCAUGCCGCGUGCGGGAAGAAGGCCUUCGGGUUGUAAACCGCUUUUGUCAGGGAAGAAAAGGUUCUGGCUAAUACCUGGGACUCAUGACGGUACCUGAAGAAUAAGCACCGGCUAACUACGUGCCAGCAGCCGCGGUAAUACGUAGGGUGCAAGCGUUAAUCGGAAUUACUGGGCGUAAAGCGUGCGCAGGCGGUUAUGCAAGACAGAGGUGAAAUCCCCGGGCUCAACCUGGGAACUGCCUUUGUGACUGCAUGGCUAGAGUACGGUAGAGGGGGAUGGAAUUCCGCGUGUAGCAGUGAAAUGCGUAGAUAUGCGGAGGAACACCGAUGGCGAAGGCAAUCCCCUGGACCUGUACUGACGCUCAUGCACGAAAGCGUGGGGAGCAAACAGGAUUAGAUACCCUGGUAGGCGU
rnacentral:rRNA from 1 species